AGCAUAUCAAUAAGCGGAGGAAAAGAAACUAACAAGGAUUCCCCUAGUAACUGCGAGUGAAGCGGGAAAAGCUCAAAUUUAAAAUCUGGCGGUCCUUGCGGCUGUCCGAGUUGUAAUCUGGAGAAGUGCUUUCCGUGCUGGACCGUGUACAAGUCUCUUGGAACAGAGCGUCGUAGAGGGUGAGAAUCCCGUCUUUGACACGGACUACCAGUGCUUUGUGAUGCGCUCUCAAAGAGUCGAGUUGUUUGGGAAUGCAGCUCAAAAUGGGUGGUAAAUUCCAUCUAAAGCUAAAUAUUGGCGAGAGACCGAUAGCGAACAAGUACCGUGAGGGAAAGAUGAAAAGAACUUUGGAAAGAGAGUUAAACAGUACGUGAAAUUGCUGAAAGGGAAACACUUGAAGUCAGUCGCGUUGGCCGGAACUCAGCCUUGCUUUUGCUUGGUGCACUUUCUGGUUGACGGGUCAGCAUCAGUUUUGAUUGUCGGAUAAUGGUCGAGGGAAUGUGGCAUCUUCGGAUGUGUUAUAGCCCUUGGUCGCAUACGAUGGUUGGGACUGAGGAUCUCAGCACACCUUUAUGGUCGGGGUUCGCCCACGUUUGUGCUUAGGAUGCUGGCAUAAUGGCUUUAAAUGACCCGUCUUGAAACACGGACCAAGGAGUCUAACAUGCAUGCGAGUGUUUGGGUGGAAAACCCGAGCGCGUAAUGAAAGUGAAAGUUGAGACCUCUGUCGUGGAGGGCAUCGACGCCCGGACCAGACCUUCUGUGACGGCUCUGCGGUAGAGCAUGUAUGUUGGGACCCGAAAGAUGGUGAACUAUGCCUGAAUAGGGUGAAGCCAGAGGAAACUCUGGUGGAGGCUCGUAGCGAUUCUGACGUGCAAAUCGAUCGUCAAAUUUGGGUAUAGGGGCGAAAGACUAAUCGAACCAUCUAGUAGCUGGU
rnacentral:rRNA from 1 species